rnacentral:lncRNA from 1 species
GGGAGGAGGAUUCUGCCAUGAAUCAUAACCUACAGAAAAGGAAACCAAAAUCAUCCACCCAAAAUCGUUAGCCUGAAGCGAGAACAAAGAACCCAAAAGAAAUCCCCAAACGAUAGCCUCGUCGCAACAUGCAUAGGCCCUCUCCGCGAAACGCAGAAACUCUCGCCGAGCCUCCGUGGCGUCUCCGCUGUGCUUCAGUCGCGCCUUCGUAUUCGCC